rnacentral:rRNA from 1 species
GUAGGUGGCAAGCGUUGUCCGGAAUUAUUGGGCGUAAAGCGCGCGCAGGCGGUUCUUUAAGUCUGAUGUGAAAGCCCACGGCUCAACCGUGGAGGGUCAUUGGAAACUGGAGAACUUGAGUACAGAAGAGGAAAGCGGAAUUCCACGUGUAGCGGUGAAAUGCGUAGAGAUGAGGAGGAACACCAGUGGCGAAGGCGGCUUUCUGGUCUGUAACUGACGCUGAGGCGCGAAAGCGUGGGGAGCAAACAGGAUUAGAUACCCUGGUAGUCCACGCCGUAAACGAUGAGUGCUAAGUGUUAGGGGGGUUUCCGCCCCCCUUAGUGCUGCAGCUAACGCAUUAAGCACUCCGCCUGGGAGUACGGCCGCAAGGCUG